rnacentral:misc_RNA from 1 species
GGUUUGCGGCAAUUCCAGAUUCCUCCAUUAGACGAAAGUAUUUAAGUGCCUCUUCAGCUUGACCAAUUUCAGCAAAUCCAUUAAUUAAAACGCCAUACAAGAUUUCAUUUGGUUCAACUCCUGCGUGUACCAUUAUAUCAUAUACUUCAACUGCAUCAGACAUUAGUCCUAGGCGAGCAUAGCUUGCAAUAACAGCAGAGAAUGUCUGACAUGUUGGUUUAAACUCCAUUCCCUGCAUUUCAAUCAAAAGGCGCCUUGC